rnacentral:tRNA from 1 species
GCCGCGGUGGUGAAAUGGUAGACACGCUGGUUUUAGGAGCCAGUGCAGCAAUGCAUGAAGGUUCAAGUCCUUUCCGCGGCACCA